GCGUCUAUAGCUCAGUAGGAUAGAGCAGCAGUUUCCUAAACUGCAGGUUGUGGGUUCGAUUCCCUCUAGGCGCACCA
rnacentral:tRNA from 1 species